rnacentral:rRNA from 1 species
GACGAACGCUGGCGGCGUGCUUAACACAUGCAAGUCGAACGGAAAGGCCCUGCUUUUGUGGGGUUCUCGAUUGGCGAACGCGUGAGUAACACGUGAGUAUCCUCCCCUUGACUUUGGGGUAACUUCACGGAACUCGGGCGAAUACCCGGGAUAAGCUCUUGCUGCAUGUGGGUGGUUGGUAAAUGCCGGCGGUUGGGGAUGGACUCGCUGCUUAUCAGCUGGUUGGUGGGGUAGGUGCGUACCAGGCGUUUGACGGGUAGCCGGCCUAGGAGCGUUGACGGCGACAUUGCUACUGAGAUAGGGACCAGACUCCUAUGGGAGGCAGCAGUGGGGAAUAUGGCACAAUGGGGGGACGCGUGAUGCAACAACGCCGCGUGCGGGAUGCCGGGCUUCGGGUUGUAAACCGCUUUGGCAUGUGCCAAAGAGGGCGUGACGGUACUGGGUCAAAAAGCCACGGCUAACUACGUG